rnacentral:rRNA from 1 species
GAUACGCGAGGAACCGUUACCUGGGCUCGAACGUAAGAUGACUGUAGGUGAAAGCUUACAUCUCUUCGGAGCAUUUUACGAGGUGCUGCAUGGUUGUCGUCAGCUCGUGCCGUGAGGUGUCGGGUUAAGUCCCAUAACGAGCGCAACCCUACCUUUAGUUGCCAUCAGGUAAUGCUGGGGACUCUAAAGGAACUGCCUACGCAAGUAGUGAGGAAGCGGGGAUGACGUCAAAUCAGCACGGCCCUUACGUCCAGGGCUACACACGUGCUACAAUGGCCGAUACAGAGGGCAGCUACCUGGUGACAGGAUGCAAAUCUCCAAAGUCGGUCUCAGUUCGGAUCGGAGUCUGCAACCCGACUCCGUGAAGUUGGAUUCGCUAGUAAUCGCGCAUCAGCCAUGGCGCGGUGAAUACGUUCCCGGGCCUU